rnacentral:rRNA from 1 species
UAAUACCUGAUAAGCCCACGAGGACUUCGGUUUUUGCGGGAAAAGAGGGGGACCUUCGGGCCUCUUGUCAUUAGAUGAGUCCGCGUACCAUUAGCUAGUUGGUGGGGUAAAGGCCUACCAAGGCGACGAUGGUUAGCUGGUCUGAGAGGAUGAUCAGCCACACUGGAACUGAGACACGGUCCAGACUCCUACGGGAGGCAGCAGUGGGGAAUUUUGCGCAAUGGGGGAAACCCUGACGCAGCAACGCCGCGUGAGUGAUGAAGGCCUUCGGGUCGUAAAGCUCUGUCUAGAGGAAAGAAGUGUGGGGUGGCUAAUAUCCGCUUCACUUGACGGUACCUCUGAAGGAAGCACCGGCUAACUCCGUGCCAGCAGCCGCGGUAAUACGGAGGGUGCGAGCGUUGUUCGGAAUUAUUGGGCGUAAAGCGCGUGUAGGCGGUUUCUUAAGUCUGAUGUGAAAGCCCCGGGCCUAACCUGGGAAGUGCAUUGGAUACUGGGAGACUUGAGUACGGGAGAGGGUAGUGGAAUUCCUAGUGUAGGAGUGAAAUCCGUAGAUAUUAGGAGGAACACCGGUGGCGAAGGCGGCUGCCUGGACCGAUACUGACGCUGAGACGCGAAAGCGUGGGUAGCAAACAGGAUUAGAUACCCUGGUAGUCCACGCCGUAAACGAUGAGUACUAGGUGUUGCGGGUA